rnacentral:rRNA from 1 species
ACACUCCUGCGGGAGGCAGCAGUGGGGAAUUUUGGACAAUGGGGGCAACCCUGAUCCAGCAAUGCCGCGUGAGUGAAGAAGGCCUUCGGGUUGUAAAGCUCUUUUGUCAGGGAAGAAACGGUAGUAGCGAAUAACUACUACUAAUGACGGUACCUGAAGAAUAAGCACCGGCUAACUACGUGCCAGCAGCCGCGGUAAUACGUAGGGUGCAAGCGUUAAUCGGAAUUACUGGGCGUAAAGCGUGCGCAGGCGGUUGUGUAAGUCAGAUGUGAAAUCCCCGGGCUCAACCUGGGAAUUGCAUUUGAGACUGCACGGCUAGAGUGUGUCAGAGGGGGGUAGAAUUCCACGUGUAGCAGUGAAAUGCGUAGAUAUGUGGAGGAAUACCGAUGGCGAAGGCAGCCCCCUGGGAUAACACUGACGCUCAUGCACGAAAGCGUGGGGAGCAAACAGGAUUAGAAACCCGUGUAGUCCC